rnacentral:rRNA from 1 species
UACAGAGGUCCCAAGCGUUGUUCGGAUUCACUGGGCGUAAAGCGCGUGUAGGCGGAUGAGCAAGUCUGCUGUGAAAGCUCCUGGCUUAACCGGGAGUGGUCGGUGGAAACUGCUCGUCUGGAGGACGGUAGAGGUAGGUAGAAUUCCCGGUGUAGUGGUGAAAUGCGUAGAGAUCGGGAGGAAUACCUGUGGCGAAGGCGGCCUACUGGGCCGGACCUGACGCUCAUGCACGAAAGCGUGGGGAGCAAACAGG